rnacentral:rRNA from 1 species
AGAGUUUUGAUCCUGGCUCAGGAUGAACGCUAGCUACAGGCUUAACACAUGCAAGUCGAGGGGCAGCAUGGAGGUAGCUUGCUAUCUCCGAUGGCGACCGGCGCACGGGUGAGUAACGCGUAUCCAACCUUCCCUGAGGUAGGGGACAGCCCGGUGAAAACCGGAUUAAUACCCUAUGUUGUCACGAAAAGGCAUCUGGGCGUGACGAAAGAUUGAUCGCCUCAGGAUGGGCCCGCGUCAGAUUAGCCAGUUGGCGGGGUAACGGCCCACCAAAGCGACGAUCUGUAGCCGGACUGAGAGGUCGGACGGCCACAUUGGGACUGAGACACGGCCCAAACUCC